rnacentral:pre_miRNA from 1 species
UCUCAUGAAUGAGCAAAGAAAGUGGUUUCUUGAGAUGGAAACUACUCCUUCUGAAGAAGCUCUGAA